rnacentral:rRNA from 1 species
GGAGCCGUAGCGAAAGCGAGUUUUAACUGAGCGUUCAGUUACUUGACGUAGACCCGAAACCGGGCGACCUACCCAUGAGCAGGAUGAAGCGAAAGUAAAAUUUCGGGGAGGUCCGAACCCACGAGCGUUGAAAAGCUCGGGGAUGACUUGUGGGUAGCGGUGAAAUUCCAAUCGAGCCCGGAGAUAGCUGGUUCUCCCCGAAAUAGCUUUAGGGCUAGCCUCAAGGUGAGAGAUACGGAGGUAGAGCACUGAAUGUCCUAGGGGGUAUUGCACCUACCGAAGACUAUCAAACUCCGAAUGCCGUCAUCUUAUACUUGGGAGUCAGACUGUGGGUGAUAAGAUUCAUAGUCGAAAGGGCAACAGCCCAGAUCGUCAGCUAAGGUCCCUAAAUGUAAGUUAAGUGGUAAAGGAUGUGGGAUUGCACAGACAACCAGGAUGUUGGCUUAGAAGCAGCCACUCAUUCAAAGAGUGCGUAAUAGCUCACUGGUCGAGUGAUCCUGCGCCGAAGAUUUCCGGGGCUAAAACUUACUACCGAAGCUACGGCAUCAGUAAUGAUGGGUAGGGGAGCUUCCCAUA